rnacentral:rRNA from 1 species
UAGGGAAUCUUCCGCAAUGGACGCAAGUCUGACGGAGCAACGCCGCGUGAGUGAAGAAGGAUUUCGGUUCGUAAAACUCUGUUGUUAGAGAAGAACAGCGCAUAGAGUAACUGUUAUGCGUGUGACGGUAUCUAACCAGAAAGCCACGGCUAACUACGUGCCAGCAGCCGCGGUAAUACGUAGGUGGCAAGCGUUGUCCGGAUUUAUUGGGCGUAAAGCGGGCGCAGGCGGUCAAUUAAGUCUGAUGUGAAAGCCCCCGGCUCAACCGGGGAGGGUCAUUGGAAACUGGUUGACUUGAGUGCAGAAGAGGAGAGUGGAAUUCCAUGGGUAGCGGUGAAAUGCGUAGAUAUAUGGAGGAACACCAGUGGCGAAGGCGACUCUCUGGUCUGUAACUGACGCUGAGGCUCGAAAGCGUGGGUAGCAAACAGG